rnacentral:rRNA from 1 species
UGGCCGGGCGACGGUUGUCCCGGUUUAAGCGUGUAGGCUGGUUUUCCAGGCAAAUCCGGAAAAUCAAGGCUGAGGCGUGAUGACGAGGCACUACGGUGCUGAAGCAACAAAUGCCCUGCUUCCAGGAAAAGCCUCUAAGCAUCAGGUAACAUCAAAUCGUACCCCAAACCGACACAGGUGGUCAGGUAGAGAAUACCAAGGCGCUUGAGAAGAUCCGCUGGCGUAUUUAGAGCGUAUCCGUCUGGCGAUGAAAGCGGGUAACACUGGCCUGGUAACAGUGCUGGCAGGGCAGAUGCCUGCCGAUUACCAGACUAUCGCCUCGGCAAUCAUUUCACUGGCGAACAACCCUAAUACGGUACUGGCGUUCUGUAAGCCUGCGAAGGUGUGCUGUGAGGCAUGCUGGAGGUAUCAGAAGUGCGAAUGCUGACAUAAGUAACGAUAAAGCGGGUGAAAAGCCCGCUCGCCGGAAGACCAAGGGUUCCUGUCCAACGUUAAUCGGGGCAGGGUGAGUCGACCCCUAAGGCGAGGCCGAAAGGCGUAGUCGAUGGGAAACAGGUUAAUAUUCCUGUACUUGGUGUUACUGCGAAGGGGGGACGGAGAAGGCUAUGUUGGCCGGGCGACGGUUGUCCCGGUUUAAGCGUGUAGGCUAGUUUUCCAGGCAAAUCCGGAAAAUCAAGGCUGAGGCGUGAUGACGAGGCACUACGGUGCUGAAGCAACAAAUGCCCUGCUUCCAGGAAAAGCCUCUAAGCAUCAGGUAACAUCAAAUCGUACCCCAAACCGACACAGGUGGUCAGGUAGAGAAUACCAAGGCGCUUGAGAGAACUCGGGUGAAGGAACUAGGCAAAAUGGUGCCGUAACUUCGGGAGAAGGCACGCUGAUAUGUAGGUGAAGUCCCUUGCGGAUGGAGCUGAAAUCAGUCGAAGAUACCAGCUGGCUGCAACUGUUUAUUAAAAACACAGCACUGUGCAAACACGAAAGUGGACGUAUACGGUGUGACGCCUGCCCGGUGCCGGAAGGUUAAUUGAUGGGGUUAGCGCAAGCGAAGCUCUUGAUCGAAGCCCCGGUAAACGGCGGCCGUAACUAUAACGGUCCUAAGGUAGCGAAAUUCCUUGUCGGGUAAGUUCCGACCUGCACGAAUGGCGUAAUGAUGGCCAGGCUGUCUCCACCCGAGACUCAGUGAAAUUGAACUCGCUGUGAAGAUGCAGUGUACCCGCGGCAAGACGGAAAGACCCCGUGAACCUUUACUAUAGCUUGACACUGAACAUUGAGCCUUGAUGUGUAGGAUAGGUGGGAGGCUUUGAAGUGUGGACGCCAGUCUGCAUGGAGCCGACCUUGAAAUACCACCCUUUAAUGUUUGAUGUUCUAACGUUGACCCGUGAUCCGGGUUGCGGACAGUGUCUGGUGGGUAGUUUGACUGGGGCGGUCUCCUCCUAAAGAGUAACGGAGGAGCACGAAGGUUGGCUAAUCCUGGUCGGACAUCAGGAGGUUAGUGCAAUGGCAUAAGCCAGCUUGACUGCGAGCGUGACGGCGCGAGCAGGUGCGAAAGCAGGUCAUAGUGAUCCGGUGGUUCUGAAUGGAAGGGCCAUCGCUCAACGGAUAAAAGGUACUCCGGGGAUAACAGGCUGAUACCGCCCAAGAGUUCAUAUCGACGGCGGUGUUUGGCACCUCGAUGUCGSCKMCGCCAUCAGCGUGUUGUAAUCCGCCUGCAGGAUUUUUCCGUCUUUCAGGGCCUUAUUCAGCUCUUUCUGACGGGCGGUAUAUUUAUCCAGCGGCGUCUGCAGGCGCUCAUACGCCUUCUGCGCCUCUCCGGUAUACUUCAGCUGUGACGACUCACGCUCAGCCCUGUCCCUUGCCGCCAGUUCACCGGCUUUUUCCAUAUCCGACUGCAGCGUGGCCGCUGCCAGACCCAGACGGGCAUUUUCCCGGUCAUCCCAUGCCCCCUGAAGGUUCGCACGAAAAGAGGAGGUCUUUCCCCGGCGCUGGCUCCGGCUCUGGUACCACUGCCAUUUUUUAUCCGCCUCAUCAAAUGCCCUC